rnacentral:lncRNA from 1 species
UUUUCUCUCUUCUUCCACCGCCUCUCCCGCCCUUCAGCAAAUAGAGGGGCUGGGGCGGCGCUGCUGGCUGCUGUCUCAUAAUCUGAGCUCAUUCUUAAAAAUAGAGCUUCAUCAAGUGACCUCAGUCUUUGUGUGUGGACAAACGAGCAUCCUCACCCCAAAUGUGGUUUCAUCUGGACCUGAGACCUAGAUCAUUCAAGGCAAAGCUUUCUGAUUCACAAAGGGUGGACAAUGAGCAUUGCUAUGGAGCUGAGGUCAGUAGUCAGCCUGACUGAGGGGCGAGUUCAGGAACAGCGAAAAGUAAGGAAAUACGGCUUGAAAAGCAGUGUGUGAAGGAGACCUGCCCGGUGGAAGGCUACGUGGACACCCAAGACCUGGACCGGGGCAGCAACCGCGGCACCGGCUGCCUGUGAGCCUCCAGCUUCCCCGCGUGCCCCGACCCCCGCACCAACUGUAGGCCAGGUAUGUUGCUGUGGACGGCUGCCUAAGUAUGUAUGUGCAUGAGAGUGUUAUGUGCAUGUGUGUGAAAUGAGGGGGAGGGGCGUCGAGAACGAAAGGGGACCGGAAAUGCCCAGAGGUAUACUGGGAAUUG